CCAGGCCUUGACAUCCUUGGAAUUCUGCAGAGAUGCGGAAGUGCCUUCGGGAAUCAAGUGACAGGUGCUGCAUGGCUGUCGUCAGCUCGUGUCGUGAGAUGUUGGGUUAAGUCCCGUAACGAGCGCAACCCUUGUCCUUUGUUGCCAGCACGUAAAGGUGGGAACUCAAAGGAGACUGCCGGUGACAAACCGGAGGAAGGUGGGGACGACGUCAAGUUAUCAUGGCCCUUACGGCCUGGGCUACACACGUGCUACAAUGGUCGGUACAGAGGGUUGCCAAGCCGCGAGGUGGAGCUAAUCCCAGAAAACCGGUCGUAGUCCGGAUCGCAGUCUGCAACUCGACUGCGUGAAGUCGGAAUCGCUAGUAAUCGCGAAUCAGAAUGUCGCGGUGAAUACGUUCCCGGGCCUUGUACACACCGCCCGUCACACCAUGGGAGUGGGUUGCAAAAGAAGUGGCUAGUCUAACCUUCGGGAGGGCGGUCACCACUUUGUGAUUCAUGACUGGGGUGAAGUCGUAACAAGGUAAGCGUAGUGCU
rnacentral:rRNA from 1 species